CUAAUUCUCAAAAGGGAUUGAUUGCAAGUCAAGAAUAUCUGAAUAAUCGAAUAUGAUAUAUUUUAUUUGCGUUUCGUUUGAUUUUAUACAAUUUUAUACAGGGUGAAUAAAAAGUAGACAAUUCUCCGAUCUGAGUUGACGUCAUCAAUUUUCCAUCUCACUAUCUACAGAUCUUUGCCAAAAAUGAACCCCAGAAUUGAAAUCUUCAUGCGCAAAUUCGUCUAUUCUUGUGUUUCAUAUGACAUCACAAAAGUGACGGGUCAACUCU